CCGACUUCCUAUUUAAUUUUAACUUUAAAAAUAAGCAUUUGAGUUUUAGAUUCAAAACGUGUUUUUAUGAAUGGAGAAAAUACAUACAAUUCCUAAUCUACAUAUUCACUAUGCUCCCUAAAUUCAUUUAUAUGGUAUUAUUGGGAGCUGAGAAUGGUUUUGUCUGAAAGAAUAGCUUAGCCAGAGUAGCUUAGAUUCUAGACCAGAUCUAAAAGUAAUCUUACUUUUACAGAUAAUGAGUUCUUUUCAUUGUUCAUUUGCUUGUUUUCAGUGUAGCUCUCUGUAUCCGACAAAAUGGCGCAUAAUCAUCUGUGAAAAUUGGAGGUCUGCAUGCUUCUCAAAUUGAGCUGUAACACUCACUGCUGCGGUCCAAGCCUUCAUUCUUUGAAGCCCGUGGAACCACAAACUCUUCAAUUGAUAAAAACCUUCGAUCGGAAGAGACUUCUCAUCUCAUUUCUGGGGGCCUGUCCGGGAUUUCUCUGAAGUGAAUAGAAUCCAUGAAACUGCAAGUGGUUCUACAAAUGGAGCCCCAAAUGACCACCACUAGCACCUACUAUCGAGGACCCCUAGACUGACCUACCAACCUGUUCUAACACCACGACACUGAAGAAGACUCCCCUCCUGAGGAACCCUCAACUGCAGAUCCCCUUCUGUGCCCCAGUUCAGCAGGAAGUAGCUAGAAUGAUCAUUGCCCAACUUCUCAACAGCACUUGGGCUUUCCUGUUGAGAGGGGGUACUGAGGCACUAAGUGGCUAAGUUAGCUAGACUUCCUGGGUCAACAGGGACUUCCCUAAGGGGACAUUCCUCUAAGCCAAAAUGAGUCAUAGCUGCAAGCUAAGGGAUUGAAACUUCAACCAAUCAAAGGGGACUUUCUCCUAAGCAAAAAUGAGUCACUGCUGCAAACUAAGUGAUUGAAACUUCACCCAAUCAUAUAGGGAGUUUAAGCUUUAGCUGCAGCCUGAUGUUUUUAACCAAUCAGGCCUGCCAACCCACAAGCAGAUAGAAAAUAAGCUAAUCCUAUGGGACAGAAAAAGGAAAAGGGGAGGAGUCAUAAGAGGAUAUAAGCAUAAGACACCCAAGCCAGAAACGGAAACCCUUCCGGGUCUCCUUCCACCACGUGGAAGCUUUACUUUUGCUUUUACUUUACUUUCACUUUAAUAAACCUUGGCGCUGCACACUCUUUGGGUCUGUACGUUUCUCUAAUUGAGCUGUAACACUCGCCGCUGUGGUCCACGGCUUCAUUCCUUGAAGCCUGUGAGACCACGAACCCUUCAAUUGAGAAAAACCUUCAAUCAGAAGAAGACUUCUUGUCUCAAUAUCACUUCCUUCGAAAACAUAAUUCAAGAGUUAUUCACAUCAUAGUUAUUUUUCACUCCCCGCUAAUAGCAGGAGUCACUUCCAAUAUACUAGAAUUUCAAAAAGGAACUGUAACUUAUAGUUUACAGUCAGUGUUUGUUUGAAAUGUAAAGCCUGACCAUUCAACUGCCAUGAUUGAAGCACUCUGAAAGACUUCCAUGGCCUUAGGAUAAAGUUCAUCCUCCUUUACAAGGAGCACAAGACCCUUAGAAUUCCAGACCCUGAUUUAGUCUUCAUCUUAUACGAAUGCUGCCCGGCAUGCUUCAUUUAGUUCUGCAAUAAACAGAGCAUACAGCAUGGUUGUGGAUCUCACUAGAGACCCAAAGAAAACAUCCCACAGGAAAUGAUGAAAAAUAAUAAGAGCAUUAUAUGUAUUGGAGCGUGGACCAGGCAGUUGAAGUGGAAAACACA
rnacentral:lncRNA from 10 species